AAUGAACGCUGGCGGCAUGCCUUACACAUGCAAGUCGAACGGCAGCGGGGGAGAAGCUUGCUUUUCCUGCCGGCGAGUGGCGAACGGGUGAGUAAUACAUCGGAACGUGCCCUGUAGUGGGGGAUAACUAGUCGAAAGAUUAGCUAAUACCGCAUACGACCUGAGGGUGAAAGUGGGGGACCGGAAGGCCUCAUGCCAUCGGAGCGGCCGAUGUCUGAUUAGCUAGUUGGUGGGGUAAAGGCCUACCAAGGCGACGAUCAGUAGCUGGUCUGAGAGGACGAUCAGCCACACUGGGACUGAGACACGGCCCAGACUCCUACGGGAGGCAGCAGUGGGGAAUUUUGGACAAUGGGCGAAAGCCUGAUCCAGCAAUGCCGCGUGUGUGAAGAAGGCCUUCGGGUUGUAAAGCACUUUUGUCCGGAAAGAAAUGGCUCUGGUUAAUACCUGGGGUCGAUGACGGUACCGGAAGAAUAAGGACCGGCUAACUACGUGCCAGCCGCCGCAGUAA
rnacentral:rRNA from 1 species